rnacentral:rRNA from 2 species
UACAGAGGGUGCGAGCGUUAAUCGGAAUUACUGGGCGUAAAGGGUGCGUAGGUGGUUGAAUAAGUUAGGUGUGAAAUUCCUGGGCUUAACCUGGGGACUGCGCCUGAUACUGUUUAGCUAGAGUACUGUAGAGGAAAGUGGAAUUUCCGGUGUAGCGGUGAAAUGCGUAGAUAUCGGAAGGAACACCAGUGGCGAAAGCGACUUUCUGGACAGAUACUGACACUGAGGCACGAAAGCAUGGGUAGCAAACAGG